CAAAAUCGCCACUGUUACCAAACCUCCACUUCCUCAACAUUAUCCCCUCCGCAUCUUUACUCCCGAGACAUCUACUUCAAUGGCCACUAUCUUCAUUCACAUCUCUUUGGGUUUCAUUAUAAAACAAAAUCUCCCUCAACACACAGAGAAAAAAAAAAAAAAACGACCUCUCAAUACAAUCAAAGUAUGACACUAAAUAAAGCUCAAGAGUCUCUCCAACCAUUCAGCUUUCAGAAUUUUGUUGAUAUUGAUGUAGAUUUCAGUGAGAAAGAAGUCUUACUCCGACUAAUUCAUUACUAGGCAGCCCGCAAUUUCAAAAAAGACAACAUAUUUAUGGGUUGUGAAUUACUGCUCAUCGACUCUUAGUGCAAGGAUUCAUAUCUGCAAACCGGCGAUUCCACUACCAAAAGGGUUUUAAGUGUGACUCCAUUUACAACCUCAAAAAUGUGGAAUGGUGUAAUACUUCAAAUGCUAUCAAAUAUCUCU